GAUGAACGCUGGCGGCGUGCCUAAUACAUGCAAGUCGAGCGAACAGACGAGGAGCUUGCUCCUCUGACGUUAGCGGCGGACGGGUGAGUAAAACGUGGAUAACCCACCUAUAAGACUGGGAUAACUUCGGGAAACCGGAGCUAAUACCGGAUAAUAUAUUGAACCGCAUGGUUCAAUAGUGAAAGAAGGGUUUGCUGUCACUUAUAGAUGGAUCCGCGCCGCAUUAGCUAGUUGGUAAGGUAACGGCUUACCAAGGCAACGAUGCGUAGCCGACCUGAGAGGGUGAUCGGCCACACUGGAACUGAGACACGGUCCAGACUCCUACGGGAGGCAGCAGUAGGGAAUCUUCCGCAAUGGGCGAAAGCUUGACGGAGCAACGCCGCGUGAGUGAUGAAGGUCUUCGGAUCGUAAAACUCUGUUAUUAGGGAAGAACAAAUGUGUAAGUAACUAUGCACGUCUUGACGGUACCUAAUCAGAAAGCCACGGCUAACUACGUG
rnacentral:rRNA from 1 species